rnacentral:rRNA from 1 species
UCAGCAGUCCAAGAAUAUUAGUCAAUGCUCGCAAGAGUGAACUAGCUAACUGAAAUCAACGGUGUGUCAUCGUUGAUAAAGUAAGGGAAAAGAAAUGAUGUUACCUUACUACUAGUGUCGUCCAAGUACUCGUGCCAGAAGACUCGGUAAGGCGAGAGACGCAAACGUUAGUCGUCUUAAUCAGGCGUAAAGGGUUUGUAGGCGGCUUUAAGAAUUUUAAAUAUUUAUAUAUUUAAAAUCAAUUAAAGCUAGAAUCAAAAAGAGGUCACAUUAAAUAAUACUUGGUGUAAGGUUGGUAUCUUAAAACCCCAAGUAGAAUACUAACGGCGAAGGCUUUUUUCCAAUAAUGAUUGACGCUGAGAAACUAAGGUGAGGAUAGAAAAAAGGAUUAGAGACCCUCGUAUCCCUCACUGUCAACGAUGAAUGGUAGUUACUAGAUAAAUAAUAAUUAUUUUAAAAUAAUUAAAAUUUUAUUACAAAUCUAGAGACGAUGUUAACACGAAAACCAUUCCGCCUUGUGAGUACAACUGCAAAGUUGAAAACAAAAAAAUUAGUCGGUUUCGGAGCAAACGAAGUGAAGCAUGUUAUUUAA